rnacentral:misc_RNA from 1 species
UAAGGAAACCGGAAAGUUUUACUUUAUUUCAUACGAAAGAGAAAGAAGUACAAAAGUAAUCGCAGAGAAAGCACACAGAAAAAGACAACAAAUUACAUGUAGGAGAGAGAAAUGGCUUAAUCGCCUCAUCUGGGAUUCAAAAUCAUACUAAAAUCAACGGCAAACAACAAAUUACAUGUGAUCUAUUAAGGUAAAAUAAAAAGACAAACAGUGGAUGCUAAUUCAUCAAUUGGGUAUUCAGUAAAUGGCGUAUGAUGGAUACCAAAGAGAAAAUAGACAUACGGCUGUUGGUAUUUGAGAUAGUACUUGAUUACAGUCAUGGUUGUGUCCAUGGCAGAAGAGGAAGAAGAGCGAAAGGCAAAGUAGGACAGCAUGAGUAGCUUCUUAGGCAGUGAGCUUUGCUGCAUCUUUUUUAUCGUAAAAGGGCUUUACCAGAGCUUCUCUUUUCAAUCUAUUGACUUCCUUAUUUUUAAGCUUUUGUUUUGCUAUUAG